GAUGAACGCUGGCGGCGUGCCUAAUACAUGCAAGUCGAGCGAACGGACGAGAAGCUUGCUUCUCUGAUGUUAGCGGCGGACGGGUGAGUAACACGUGGAUAACCUACCUAUAAGACUGGGAUAACUUCGGGAAACCGGAGCUAAUACCGGAUAAUAUUUUGAACCGCAUGGUUCAAAAGUGAAAGACGGUCUUGCUGUCACUUAUAGAUGGAUCCGCGCUGCAUUAGCUAGUUGGUAAGGUAACGGCUUACCAAGGCAACGAUGCAUAGCCGACCUGAGAGGGUGAUCGCCCCCCCUGAACUGAGGCCACGGUCCAGACUCCUACGGGGGCAGCAAGAGGGGAUUCUCCCGCAUUGGGCGAAGGCCUACCGAGGCACCGCCGCGUAGGUGAUGAGGUUCUUCGAUCCUUAAACUCUGUUAUUAGGGAAGAACAUAUGUGUAAGUAACUGUGCACAUCUUGACGGUACCUAAUCAGAAAGCCACGGCUAACUACGUG
rnacentral:rRNA from 1 species